UACGAAGGUGGCAAGCGUUGUUCGGAUUUACUGGGCGUACAGGGAGCGUAGGCGGUUGGAUAAGCCCUCCGUGAAAUCUCCAGGCUUAACCUGGAAAGUGCAGAGGGGACUGUUCAGCUAGAGGAUGGGAGAGGAGCGCGGAAUUCCCGGUGUAGCGGUGAAAUGCGUAGAGAUCGGGAGGAAGGCCGGUGGCGAAGGCGGCAUCCUGGACCAACACUGACGCUGAGUGAGCGAAAGCCAGGGGAGCAAACGGG
rnacentral:rRNA from 1 species